rnacentral:rRNA from 1 species
UACGGGGGGUGCGAGCGUUGUCCGGAAUCACUGGGCGUAAAGGGCGCGUAGGUGGUUUGAUAAGGGUGUGGUGAAAGUCCGGAGCUCAACUCCGGAUCUGCCGUGCCGACUGUCAAACUCGAGGGCUGUAGAGGCAGACGGAAUUCCGGGUGUAGCGGUGGAAUGCGUAGAGAUCCGGAGGAGGACCGGUGGCGAAGGCGGUCUGCUGGGCAGUUUCUGACACUGAGGCGCGACAGCGUGGGGAGCAAACAGG